rnacentral:rRNA from 1 species
CCUACGUGUGGCAGCAGUGGGGAAUAUUGGGCAAUGGGCGCAAGCCUGACCCAGCAACGCCGCGUGAAGGAAGAAGGCUUUCGGGUUGUAAACUUCUUUUCUCAGGGACGAAGCAAGUGACGGUACCUGAGGACUAAGCCACGGCUAACUACGUGCCAGCAGCCGCGGUAAUACGUCGGUGGCAAGCGUUAUCCGGAUUUACUGGGUGUAAAGGGCGUGUAGGCGGGAAAGCAAGUCAGAUGUGAAAACCCUGGGCUCAACCUGUGGCCUGCAUUUGAAACUGUUUUUCGUGAGUACUGGAGAGGCAGACGGAAUUCCUAGUGUAGCGGUGAAAUGCGUAGAUAUUAGGAGGAACACCAGUGGCGAAGGCGGUCUGCUGGACAGCAACUGACGCUGAGGCGCGAAAGCGUGGGGAGCAAACAGGAUUAGAUACCCGGGUAGUC